GUGGGAGCGAGCCUGCUCGCGAAUGCGGUAUGUCAGCACACAUUUAAAGUGUCUGACCCAGCGCAUUCGCGAGCAGGCUCGCUCCCAC
rnacentral:antisense_RNA from 1 species